AAACAGGAAGACGAUCCGACAGUACUAGAUUUUUCUGCGCCACACUAAACCUAGCAGAUAAAUCAUAUGCGAUGAUGUGACUGCAACGUUUGACUUGCUGAUCUACUCAAUAGGAGAAGCGUGUCGGACCAAAAUGUCUGCCCUUUUUUCAAAAAACAUUACUAUUCUCGUUUUGGUGCUUCUUUCGCUAAUGAUUUACAUCGACGGAAAAGGCAAGAAAGAUACGAGGAAAAGUUCAUCCAAUAAAAUGUCCCGGCGAUACAUAAUUAAAUGCUGUGGCAAAAAUUCCUGCAUAAACCAAGUGUCCAAGAAAAAGUCUACAAAAUUUAACAUAACACUUAGUCCAACAUCAAAUUUACUCUCAACUACAAACAGCGACAAACACGGUCUGAUUGAUGAGAACAGAGAUCGAUCUAAAAAUUCUUAUCCCUCGGAAGAAAUCACCACUCCAGAAAUAAAGGGUUUGACACAAAUCGAACCAGGAGGAUCGGAAAUGCAUGGCCCUGACGCGUUGUCAAAUGAUGGUUUCGGAUCCUCUGGCCAGAUAACGAGUGAUCCAGAUUCGUCAAGCCAGAUAUCCAGCAGAGCUGAUUUUUCUACUCGGCUACUGAGUAAAUAUCCUGAGACAUCGGCUGAUCUCUCAACACAGUCCUUCAAUUCUGUACCAAAUACUUCAACAGAAUUAAAAACUACCACAAAAUUUGCUAAUGAGCCAUCCAAUUUUACGCAAGCAACUCCUUCAAUUGCACAAACCACCACCACAGGGCCGACUCAAACAGAGCUAUCUACAGGUUGGAAAAAUGUCACUAGUUCCACAACAUCAAGAAAGAAUUCGAGUACAAUCGCACAAAUUGACUCAACAACGGACGCGCAAGACAGUUUGGAUAAUUCUGCAAUUUCAAAUGAAUCCGUCAGUGAUAUGGCCACUUUCCCUGAUGAGCCGACAGAAGUAACAACUCCAGAAACGACAGAAGCUCCCACCACGGAGCCACCAAUGGAACUACUACAG